AAAUUGAAGAGUUUGAUCAUGGCUCAGAUUGAACGCUGGCGGCAGGCCUAACACAUGCAAGUCGAACGGUAACAGAAAGCAGCUUGCUGCUUUGCUGACGAGUGGCGGACGGGUGAGUAAUGUCUGGGAAACUGCCUGAUGGAGGGGGAUAACUACUGGAAACGGUAGCUAAUACCGCAUAACGUCGCAAGACCAAAGAGGGGGACCUUCGGGCCUCUUGCCAUCGGAUGUGCCCAGAUGGGAUUAGCUAGUAGGUGGGGUAAAGGCUCACCUAGGCGACGAUCCCUAGCUGGUCUGAGAGGAUGACCAGCCACACUGGAACUGAGACACGGUCCAGACU
rnacentral:rRNA from 1 species